GAUGAACGCUGGCGGCGUGCCUAAUACAUGCAAGUCGAGCGAACAGAUGAGAAGCUUGCUUCUCUGAUGUUAGCGGCGGACGGGUGAGUAACACGUGGGUAACCUACCUAUAAGACUGGGAUAACUCCGGGAAACCGGGGCUAAUACCGGAUAAUAUUUUGAACCGCAUGGUUCAAUAGUGAAAGACGGUUUCGGCUGUCACUUAUAGCUGGACCCGCGCCGUAUUAGCUAGUUGGUAAGGUAGCGGCUUACUAAGGCGACGAUACGUAGCCGACCUGGGAGGGUGCUCGGCCACACUGGAACUGAGACACGGUCCAGACCCCUACGGGAGGCAGCAGUAGGGAAUCUUCCGCAAUGGGCGAAAGCCUGACGGUGCAACGCCGCGUGAGUGAUGAAGGUCUUCGUAUCGUAAAUCUCUGUCGUUAGGGAAGAACAAAUUUGUUAGUAACUGAACAAGUCUUGACGGUACCUAACCAGAAAGCCACGGCUAACUACGUGCCAGCAGCCGCCGUAA
rnacentral:rRNA from 1 species